rnacentral:rRNA from 1 species
UACGGAGGAUCCGAGCGUUAUCCGGAUUUAUUGGGUUUAAAGGGUGCGCAGGCGGGGGAUUAAGUCGGCGGUGAAAUUUUGCAGCUCAACUGUAAAAGUGCCUUCGAAACUGGUUUCCUUGAGUGUAGAUGAAGUAGGCGGAAUUUGUGGUGUAGCGGUGAAAUGCAUAGAUAUCACGAGGGACUCCGAUUGCGCAGGCAGCUUACUAAACUACUACUGACGCUCAGGCACGAAGGCGUGGGGAUCAAACAGGAUUAGAUACCCCCGUAGUCCCUGA